CAGCAGUCGCCGCGGUAAUACAGAGGGUGCAAGCGUUAAUCGGAAUUACUGGGCGUAAAGCGCGCGUAGGUGGUUUGUUAAGUUGGAUGUGAAAGCCCCGGGCUCAACCUGGGAACUGCAUCCAAAACUGGCAAGCUAGAGUACGGUAGAGGGUGGUGGAAUUUCCUGUGUAGCGGUGAAAUGCGUAGAUAUAGGAAGGAACACCAGUGGCGAAGGCGACCACCUGGACUGAUACUGACGCUCAGGUGCGAAAGCGUGGGGAGCAAACAGGAUUAGAUACCCCUGUAGUCCCUGUCUCUUAUAC
rnacentral:rRNA from 1 species